GUGAGGAAUAUUGGUCAAUGGGCGAGAGCCUGAACCAGCCAAGUCGCGUGAAGGAAGAAGGAUCUAUGGUUCGUAAACUUCUUUUGCAGGGGAAUAAAGUGCGGGACGUGUCCUGUUUUGUAUGUACCCUGAGAAUAAGGAUCGGCUAACUCCGUGCCAGCAGCCGCGGUAAUACGGAGGAUCCGAGCGUUAUCCGGAUUUAUUGGGUUUAAAGGGUGCGUAGGUGGUUUGAUAAGUCAGCGGUGAAAGUUUGCAGCUUAACUGUAAAAAUGCCGUUGAAACUGUCGGACUUGAGUGUAAAUGAGGUAGGCGGAAUGCGUGGUGUAGCGGUGAAAUGCAUAGAUAUCACGCAGAACUCCGAUUGCGAAGGCAGCUUACUAAGCUACAACUGACACUGAAGCACGAAAGCGUGGGGAUCAAACAGGAUUAUAAACCCUGGUAGUCC
rnacentral:rRNA from 1 species